rnacentral:lncRNA from 1 species
UUAGCUAAUGAAUGUUUUUAAGGAGAGGCAUGAUAGUAUGCUUUGUAUGAAGGGUGAAUCGCAGGGAAGGAAACUAUGGAAGUAGAGAGACUAAUAUGAUGCAUGGAGCAGAAAUCCAGGUAAAUAUGAUGGUGGUUUGAACUAAUUUACUGGCAUAGUAGAUAUAGAGAAUAAGGCAAAAGAGAUAUAAAUGAGAAGUACAAUUGAAUAGAGAUGUUUGGAAGAGAAACUGAUAGAUCUAAAUCUGGACUAGCUAUAGAUGGUCUUGAGGAAGAGAGAAAGCAAUCAACUUUUGGAGGUUAAGCCAUUUAUUCAGAUGUUAACCACUGCGGGAAAGGAUCUAAAACAGUUUGAGGGAAAAUCAUCAUCAUACCACUAUGAUAUUUAGAAUGACCCAUUUACAUUAAUAAACUUUAAGCUCCUCAGCAAGGUCAUGCCUUGGAUUAGAAAAAUACCAAAUAAAUCCUUCCAGCAUAUCCCAUUCUUUCAUAUAUCUAGUAGGAAUAGAAAUUAGAUAAAUGUUAGUCACUAUUAUCCAUGCAAAAUGCCAUUCUUUUUUUUUUUUUUCCUUGCCACAAAGAAAGUGGUUUGGUCAUAUUGAAUAGAGUGACUCACCGACGCCACCUCUGAAUGUCUUACUUUUUCUUUGCUGACAAAGCUCACCUCAGCAACAAGUAGCAAAAACACAGAAGCACUACCACAGGAGGGCUCCCAUGAUUGUUUCCCACUCCUAGGGGACACCAAGAGGCAUAAGGAUGCUGUUGGCAGAGAGCCAGACCUGACUCAUCUUUCCUCUGUACUCGACAAGGUACCCAGCUGGCCCUGCCCUAAACCAUAGGAAUCAUGCCAUAUUGUCUACUGAGCCUCUGAAAAAACACGUCACGGUGUCUGUCCCAUGAUUGCACAACGGUUCUCUUCCAAAAGCGAACCUCCAAUAGACAGCCCACCCCACAAUUCUGCAGGCACAGACAGGCCUCCGGCGCGCAAGCCGCCGCGUCGGCCGCCUCUCCCUUCCGCAUUUUCGGAGCCCGCCAAGCAGAGCCGCGCGGCCGGGACCCGCCGAGGACCGGCCCCGCACGGGACCCCGCGGCCUCGGCUCCUCCUGCAGGGGCCUGGACCUGGUCCCGCAGCUUCUCGCCUCCACUUUGCAGGCGGCGCAACACACCGAGGGACGGGCGGACCGACACAGAUCAUCUGGUUGCGGGACCUUCUACAGCAGGCAAAACCCCGUUUCCUUUGGAAGGUGUGCGGAGGAGUCAGUGGCCGCGGCUGCAGGGGGAGACGUAGGUAG